rnacentral:rRNA from 1 species
AAACGUAGGAGGCGAGCGUUAUCCGGAUUUACUGGGCGUAAAGCGCGUGCAGGCGGUCAUGCGAGUUGGGCGUAAAAUCUCCUGGCUUAACUGGGAGGGGACGUUCAAUACUGUGUGACUUGAGUGCAGGAGAGGGAAGUGGAAUUCCCGGUGUGGCGGUAAUAUGCGCAGAUAUCGGGAGGAACACCUGUGGCGAAGGCGGCUUCCUGGCCUGUGACUGACGCUCAGACGCGAAAGCUAGGGGAGUGAACGGGAUUAGAUACCCCGGUAAUCCUAGCUGUAAACGAUGGAUACUAGGUGUGGGUGGUAUUGACCCCAUCCGUGCCGAAGCUAACGCGUUAAGUAUCCCGCCUGGGGACUACGACCGCAAGGUUAAA